GACGAACGCUGGCGGCGUGCUUAACACAUGCAAGUCGAACGGAAAGGCCCUGCUUUUGUGGGGUGCUCGAGUGGCUAACGGGUGAGUAACACGUGAGUAACCUGCCCUUUACUUUGGGAUAACUUCAGGAAACUGGGGCUAAUACCGGAUAUGAGCUCCUGCUGCAUGGUGUGGGUUGUAAAGUUUCGGCGGUUGGGGAUGGACUCGCGGCUUAUCAGCUUGUUGGUGGGGUAGUGGCUUACCAAGGCUUUGACGGGUAGCCGGCCUGAGAGGGUGACCGGCCACAUUGGGAAUGAGAUACGGCCCAGACUCCUACGGGAGGCAGCAGUGGGGAAUAUUGCACAAUGGGCGGAAGCCUGACGCAGCAACGCCGCGUGCGGGAUGACGGCCUUCGGGUUGUAAACCGCUUUCGCCUGUGACGAAGCGUGAGUGACGGUAAUGGGUAAAGAAGCACCGGCUAACUACGUG
rnacentral:rRNA from 1 species